rnacentral:lncRNA from 10 species
AAUGUAGUUUGAUGAUCUUACAGCAAAGCUGGAAGCUGUAUCUUCAAAAUAUGUCUAUUUGACUAAGAAGAAGUUAUUCAACAGGAGUUAUUAUCUAUGAAAAAAGUACAACCAGAAUAUAAAAAACUUGAGGAGGAUAAAAAGAUGUUGGAAGAAGUAAUAUUAAAUCUUAAAAAACAUGGAAACUGCACAUUGGUGAAGACACAUUGGUGAAGUACAAAAAUAUAAAUUGGAUGUAGAAGAAAGGGCAAUGCAGGCAAUAGAAAAAUUAGUAGAAAUCCCUUUACAGGUUAGUUUGUAAAAUCAGGUAAGUUUAUUUAUAAUGUGCUUUCAUUUAUUUCACUGCAAAUUAUAUUUUGGAUAUAUAUAUUGUGUUUCCUCUGCCUCUCUUAUAGCAAUUUGCCUUGUAGAGUUCUAGCAAAAAGGUGGCAUCUGUUUUUACUUUCAAAUAUUUAAAUUUCCAUCAUUAUAACAAAAUCAAUUUUUCAGAGUAAUGAUUCUUACUGUGGAGUCAUUUGAUUAUUAAGACCCAUUGGCAUAAGAUUACAUCCUCUGACUAUAAAAAUCGUGGAAGAAAACCUAGGAAAUAUUCGUCUGGACAUUGCACUUGGCAGUGAAUUUAUGGGCUCUUUGGAAUCCUGCAGAUAUUAUCAUGAUAAUUAAACAAAACACUUAGAGAAACUGCCAACCCUAGGAUGAAAUAUAUUGUUACUGUGCUUUGGGAUUAAAAUAAGUAACUACAGUUUAUAGAACUUUUAUACUGAUACACAGACACUAAAAAGGGAAAGGGUUUGGAUGAGAAGCUCUGCUAUGCAAUCAAGAAUCUCAGCCACUCAUUUCUGUAGGAGCUGCAGGAGCUCUUUGUAAAGAGAGGUUAUGGAGUCUGCAGCUUCAGGAAA